UAUUUGGGUCAGACACUUGGUGAUUAUUAACAUGAUAAAGAUCAUAUCUUGACUGGAGCCCUGAGACACCACUGGAGGGUUCAUUUUUAGCUGGUGCUCUGGGAAAUAGAGAGUUGGGCAGAGUUCCCAUCCUGUGGAGCUUGCAGUUGGAAAAAUCCUCUACACACCAAGAAGGCUGGCAGAGUAGCAGUUGAUCCUCAGUGGGAGCCCAGAGGGGGAAGGAAACAACUAGAAAGCCAUUCCAGAAGUGUCUGUGUGGUAUUUAGGGAGCUGGGAACCAGCUGCAGCAUGCACAGAUUUCCAGAGGUUUCUGUUGAGUGAGGAGAGGGCUCAGGUUGCCCAGAGUCUCAGUCUGAGUAAGAACUGCAGAAGAUGUGCUGAAUUCAAGAACUGCAGGCAUGUGUUCAACUAAACCCAGGUUUCUGUAUCUGUUUUUAGGGUGCUUGAUCGAAGUGGGGCCUUGAGAACAGCC